rnacentral:rRNA from 1 species
AGCUCCAAUAGCGUAUAUUAAAGUUGCUGCAGUUAAAAAGCUCGUAGUUGGAUUUGUGGGAUGGCCGUCCGGCGGGGGGCCUUUCAUGGUCCCGUUUGUCCUGGUUUUCGGCCUUCCCUUUCUCGGGUCUAGCGUAUUGGCUGGCAUUAGGUUGUCGGCCGCUUCGCGCCCGUCGUUUACUGUGAAAAAAUUAGAGUGCUCAAAGCAGGCUUUACACGCUUGAAUAUUCGUGCAUGGAAUAAUAGAAUAGGAUGUGAUUUCUAUUUUGUUGGUUUUCGGAAAUUCACAUAAUGAUUAAUAGGGACAGUCGGGGGCAUUAGUAUUCAGACGAUAGAGGUGAAAUUCUUGGACCGUCUGAGGACUAACUACUGCGAAAGCAUUUGCCAAGAAUGUUUUCAUU